rnacentral:lncRNA from 1 species
AUGAAGGUGACAGUAAAUAUUCAGCAGUCUCUCUUUAAUGCAGGUGGUGAGAUGGUUGGAGCAGCCCCCAGACAGGAGGUGACUGUUUCCCCAGGAGCCCCCUUUGAGAUGAGGCUGGGCAGGGAAUGCAGCAGGGCCCCACAGCAGCUUGGGGGUGUCAUCUCCAGCAGUCCCUGUGAGCUCAGGUCUCAAGAGCUGGGGAUUUGGGCUGUCCUUUGCUCCCAUGCCAGCAGGGCCCUCUUGCUGCUCAGAUGGUGUCACCUUUUUAUGGGAACUGCACUUGACCACCUUGACAGUCUGGCCACCCUUGGGACCCAGGCUGGAGAAAGAGAUGGAAGUAUACCAGCAAUCCCUGAAGGACAGCUGCUGGGGGAUUCACAUUUCAAUAGAGAGGAGAAAGGUGUGCAGUGCCAUAACAUUGUUCCCACAUAUGGACACAAGUCUUCUGUAUUCAGCCAAGCACAAAUCCCUGGACAUGGGCUGGGAAGUGAAAAAGCACCUGCUUUAUAG